GACAGAGGGUGCAAACGUUGCUCGGAAUUACUGGGCGUAAAGCGCACGUAGGCGGAUUGUUAAGUCAGGGGUGAAAUCCUGGAGCUCAACUCCAGAACUGCCUUUGAUACUGGCGAUCUUGAGUCCGGGAGAGGUGAGUGGAACUGCGAGUGUAGAGGUGAAAUUCGUAGAUAUUCGCAAGAACACCAGUGGCGAAGGCGGCUCACUGGCCCGGUACUGACGCUGAGGUGCGAAAGCGUGGGGAGCAAACAGG
rnacentral:rRNA from 1 species